rnacentral:rRNA from 1 species
GACGAACGCUGGCGGCGUGCUUAACACAUGCAAGUCGAACGGAAAGGCCCUGCUUUUGUGGGGUGCUCGAGUGGCGAACGGGUGAGUAACACGUGAGUAACCUGCCCUUGACUUUGGGAUAACUUCAGGAAACUGGGGCUCAUACCGGAUAGGAGCUCCUGCUGCAUGGUGGGGGUUGGAAAGUUUCGGCGGUUGGGGAUGGACUCGCGGCUUAUCAGCUUGUUGGUGGGGUAGUGGCUUACCAAGUCUUUGACGGGUAGCCGGCCUGAGAGGGUGACCGGCCACAUUGGGACUGAGAUACGGCGCAGACUCCUACGGGAGGCAGCAGUGGGGAAUAUUGCGCAAUGGGCGGAAGCCUGAUGCAGCAACGCCGCGUGCGGGAUGACGGCCUUCGGGGUGUAAACCGCUUUCGCCUGUGACGAAGCGGGAGUGACGGUAAUGGGUAAAGAAGCACCGGCUAACUACGUG